rnacentral:rRNA from 1 species
AUUGAACGCUGGCGGAAUGCUUUACACAUGCAAGUCGAACGGCAGCACGGACUUCGGUCUGGUGGCGAGUGGCGAACGGGUGAGUAAUGUAUCGGAACGUGCCCAGUCGUGGGGGAUAACGUAGUGAAAAUUACGCUAAUACCGCAUACGAUCUAUGGAUGAAAGCGGGGGAUCGCAAGACCUCGCGCGAUUGGAGCGGCCGAUAUCAGAUUAGGUAGUUGGUGGGGUAAAGGCCCACCAAGCCAACAAUCUAUAGCUGGUCUGAGAGGACGACCAGCCACACGGGAACUGAGACACGGUACAGACUCCUACGGGAGGCAGCAGUGGGGAAUUUUGGACAAUGGGCGAAAGCCUGAUCCAGCCAUUCCGCGUGCAGGAUGAAGGCCCUCGGGUUGUAAACUGCUUUUGUACAGAACGAAAAGGUUUCUACUAAUACUAGGAGCUCAUGACGGUACUGUAAGAAUAAGCACCGGCUAACUACGUGCCAGCAGCCGCCGUAA